AGAAACACGAUGAAGGGGAAAGUAAUCUUCCUGGUCAGUGCAAAGCGAGCCUAUGUCAGUGUGAGUUAGGCCACGGUCAGAAAGAUGAAAGUAGCCCCGGAGUGACUAGAACGACCAUCCUGGAAGUUUUAGGCGGGUACGCCCGUUAUAGCGCCACCGUAUCUGAUUUUUUCACGUACGGAUUGAGGCACUACCAGUGAUGGUGGUGUAAAUGAAGGUGGUAACACGCCCACGCGUCCUUUCU
rnacentral:ncRNA from 1 species